CCUACGGGUGGCAGCAGUGGGGAAUAUUGGGCAAUGGGCGCAAGCCUGACCCAGCAACGCCGCGUGAAGGAAGAAGACUCUCCGGUUGUAAACUUCUUUUCUCAGGGACGAAGCAAGCGACGGUACCUGAGGAACAAGCCACCGCUAACUACGCGCCAGCCGCCGCGGUAAUGCGUCGGUGGCAAUCGUUAUCCGGAUUUACUGGGUGUAAAGGGCUUGUAGGCGGGACUGGAAGUCAGAUGGGAAAACCAUGGGCUCAACCUAUGGCCUGCAUUUGAAACUGUAGUUCUUGAGUACUGGAGAAGCAGACGGAAUUCGUGGUGUAGCGGUGAAAUGCGUAGAUAUUAGGAGGAACGCCGGUGGCGAAGGCGGUCUGCUGGACCGCAACUGACGCUGAGGCGCGAAAGCGUGGGGAGCGAACAGGAUUAGAUACCCGAGUAGUC
rnacentral:rRNA from 1 species